CCUACGGGAGGCAGCAGUGAGGAAUAUUGGUCAAUGGACGGAAGUCUGAACCAGCCAUGCCGCGUGCAGGAAGACGGCUCUAUGAGUUGUAAACUUCUUUUGUACAAGGGUAAACUUGAACACGUGUAUUCAGCUGAAAGUACUUUACGAAUAAGGAUCGGCUAACUCCGUGCCAGCAGCCGCGGUAAUACGGAGGAUCCGAGCGUUAUCCGGAUUUAUUGGGUUUAAAGGGUGCGUAGAUGGGUUGUUAAGUUAGUGGUGAAAUGUUGGAGCUUAACUCGGGAACUGCCUUUGAUACUGUCAGUCUGGAGUAUAGUUGAGGUAGGCGGAAUGCAUGGUGUAGCGGUGAAAUGCUUAGAGAUCAUACAGAACACCGAUUGCGAAGGCAGCUUACCAAUCUAUAACUGACAUUGAGGCACGAAAGCGUGGGGAGCAAACAGGAUUAGAUACCCUUGUAGUC
rnacentral:rRNA from 1 species